rnacentral:rRNA from 1 species
UACCAGCACCCCGAGUGGUUGGGACGAUUAUUGGGCCUAAAGCAUCCGUAGCCGGUCCUACAAGUCUUCCGUUAAAUCCACCUGCUUAACAGAUGGGCUGCGGAAGAUACUAUAGGGCUAGGAGGCGGGAGAGGCAAGCGGUACUCAGUGGGUAGGGGUAAAAUCCUCUGAUCCAUUGAAGACCACCAGUGGCGAAGGCGGCUUGCCAGAACGCGCUCGACGGUUGAGGGAUGAAAGCUGGGGGGAGCAAACCGGG